CGUAAAUAUCUGCAAGAAAUUAAGUACAUAUUAAUAUAUAUAUUAUAUAAUACACCGUUUUUCUCAACAAUUUUCAUAUUCAGUGGCUCAAUUGCCUUGAACCCAUUUGCGACUUCAUUUAGUUUAGAUUCUUCCUUUGCGCAUAGAUUGAAUGAAUUCCACGUUGUCGUCUUUGCUCUCAUUUCCUGUGCUAGACAGCUCAAACUGAUAUGCAGGCCGACAUCACUUAUGUCUAAAAUGUCUAUCGCAGUCGAAAAUAUUUGGACCUCCAGUGCUCCAUACACCUGAUACAUCUGCUCCAAUACAUUAUAAACUAAAGUGUUCGGUUGCGGGCGACACUAUUCUGUAAUGUUAUUUGUUUUUGGCUUAGCAAUGUUAAUCUUAUUUUUUUUUUGCCUUUGUCUUUGGAUUUAAGUGACUUAUAGUAUAAUUCAACCGUCCAACAUUCUUACAUGUUUUUGCGAAUAUAACAUUUUUGUCGAAUGUUAAAAAUGGGGCCUGUACAUAAUCCCAUAGGAAAAAAUGUCAAAAAUAUGACAUUUUCUCAAACUGUGUAUAUUCGCCCCGAACAAUUCGAGUACUUUUUCCACUCACAUGUUACCGACGGCGGGCACUUGCCAAUGGAACCACAAAGUGGGAGAUUUAAAAUGUAACAUUUUUUGAGCAUAGUGGAAUUAGGCUAUAAGCGGACGUCUGUAUGCCAGUUCUCAUGGCUAAAUUUUCCUAAGGCUGUCUUGAUUAAUUUACUUUAACAACAGAUUCAAGUUCACUGCAUCACUGUCAUUUAAUUUUAUUAUUCAUUUUAUAAUUUAAAACUGAUUUUAUGUCAAAAGGCAGAUGGAGAGUAGUAUAAGAUAGAAAUAUAUGACACGUGGUAAUUGCUAGUAAUAAAAAAUUAUCGAGAGUCUGAUUUGUGAUGUUGAGCAGAGCGGACAUGGUGAAAAGCGCGGACUCAAGAAUUCAUCAAAAAAUACUAUAAGGUAAAAGUAUAUAAAUAAAUAAUAAUCGUAAAUAAUCAAAGUCAUGUAUAUACGUUCACCCUAUUGGGCUAAGUACAUGCCGCGGCUGCCAACGCCACCAGGACGCUUCCCCUUAUUGUUGAAGUCCUUCCUUCCCUUAAACAGCGACUGAGGAGGGGGGUUAAGAAGGAGGUGACUAUUCUAAACAAAAAACUCAGACACCAUGCUGGAGUAAGCAACGGUAGACGAGAGCUCCACUUACGCGCUGUGGAAACUAUACAGGCUAUACAAACAGCACGUUGCGCCAAAUUUUCCCGUCCGACAUCCCGAUAGCUCCAGUGCCAGAAGACUGAGUCGAAGCAGUAAUUUAAAACCUGGAAGAGCCUUUAAGACGAUUAAUACCGCAUCGCAUGGCAGAAGCCAGCGCACAAGGUCUAAUGUCCCUCCCGCAGCCCUUAUCAUCUUCCAAAAAGUCAAGCAGGAGAUAAAGAGCUUCAAACAUAAUAAAGCCAGUGGGGAAGAUCGUUUGGACAACCAGACAAAUAAGUUACUGCCGUACAAGGCACUGUUUUUUCUCGUCGUCUAGUGGCCAGGAAGAACGCGCAAAUCACUAUGAGCGGAGAGCUUCCUAAUCAGUUAGGGUCCUUUCGCCCCGUCAGCGUCCUGCCUGCCUUCGGCAAGAUUCUGGACCGUUAAAUCCCGAAGCUCUAAUUUGGGUUCCGACUCAAGCAUGGCUAACUCCAGUUUGGACUUAACCACAGGAAGGAAGAAGUUUAUAAAUGGACCACAGAAAGGCCAUCUCCUGAUGGCCACGUUUGCAUGCUCGAACAGAUGGGCGAAUGAAGCGGCAGACAUCCUGCAGGCUGACAUUUCAGUGAACAUUGAACUAUGUGCUGCGGUCACUCAUACCGUGCGCAAAGACUCCUGCCUCGGACUUUUUCUCCAUAGUGAGCUCUUAAAGCAGGUGAACCCAAUACAUAACGAGAAUAAUUUGCACGGCUGGACUUAAGCAGAGGAGAGCGAUGGCCAGAUAUAUUAACCAAAUACCUUUACAAUGAAGGACAUUAAAUCGCCACUCAGUAGAAAUGUGCAAUGUCCCUAUGGAUAUUAAUCUGGCUCUUAAAUGCCCUUUCUAUGCUUGCUCCCAUUUUGAAGAUAUAAUAACAAAAAAAAAAUUAGUUGUUGGCGUUAAAAGGGUGUUAAGCUGCUUUGCUUAUGCACCGCCCAAUUUGUUGAUGUAGGGAAAGGGGAAGACUUCACCUUUCGUUUGCCUUUUCUUUUCAAGCCAGCCGAAAUAUGUAAUUACUGCCUCGAUCCAAUUAUGUAUGUUCAUCUACACCAUCGCACCGCAAAGAACAUUUUCAACGCUUUAAACGAAACGUACCAUAAACAAACUAUCUUAUAAGUUAUAA